rnacentral:rRNA from 1 species
CGGAGGGUGCAAACGUUGCUCGGAAUCAUUGGGCGUAAAGCGAACGUAGGCGGCUAUGUAAGUCGGGUGUGAAAGCCCUCGGCUCAACCGAGGAAGUGCAUUCGAAACUGCAUGGCUUGAGUAUCGGAGAGGAUAGCGGAAUUCCCGGUGUAGAGGUGAAAUUCGUAGAUAUCGGGAGGAACACCAGUGGCGAAGGCGGCUAUCUGGACGAAUACUGACGCUGAAGUUCGAAAGCGUGGGGAGCAAACAGGAUUAGAUACCCUGGUAGUCCACGCCGUAAACGAUGAGUGCUAGGUGUCGCGGGUAUUGACCCCUGCGGUGCCGUAGUUAACGCAUUAAGCACUCCGCCUGGGGAGUACGGCCGCAAGGCUAA